CUACCCUUGACAUGUGCGGAAUCCUGCAGAAAUGCAGGAGUGCCCGAAAGGGAACCGCAACACAGGUGCUGCAUGGCUGUCGUCAGCUCGUGUCGUGAGAUGUUGGGUUAAGUCCCGCAACGAGCGCAACCCUUGCCAUUAGUUGCUACAUUCAGUUGAGCACUCUAAUGGGACUGCCGGUGACAAACCGGAGGAAGGUGGGGAUGACGUCAAGUCCUCAUGGCCCUUAUGGGUAGGGCUACACACGUCAUACAAUGGCGCGUACAGAGGGUUGCCAACCCGCGAGGGGGAGCCAAUCCCAGAAAGCGCGUCGUAGUCCGGAUUGGAGUCUGCAACUCGACUCCUUGAAGUCGGAAUCGCUAGUAAUCGCGGAUCAGCAUGUCGCGGUGAAUACGUUCCC
rnacentral:rRNA from 1 species